rnacentral:lncRNA from 1 species
UCCAUAUGCCAUGGGUGUGGCCCUAAAAGGACAAAAGACAAAAACAAACAAACAAAAAAAUGGGUUUUUCUUCUCUGAUUCUGACAUUUAGGUUCAGAUUUUGACUUUUGUUUUUAAUUUUUAUUUUUUUUAGACUUUCUAUCAUUAAUUUGAUCUUCAAAAAUCAUCAGUGAUCUGACUGAUGAUUUUUAGUCACAAAGGAUUUAGUAAAAAGCAUAAUAUUUACCAAUAUAUCCUGGUGUGGCCCUUGAAAAACAAAAUGGAGUCACUUUUAUCACAGGGAUCUAAAAUGGAACCUGGAGUCCUUUAAGGAAUAGAAUUUAUAUACAUUCAUACCUGGAUAAUUCAAACUUGUGACAUAUCCCCCCAAGAUCUUGAGACCACUUAGAACUUAUUUCCUUUAAACUCUCUUGCAAUCUGUCAAUUUAAAAAAAUGCACAAUCUGAAAGUUGAGAGUUGUUUUAUUUGGGGCAAAAUUAGGACUUAAGCCCAGGGGACACAUCUCAGGUAUCCCUGAGAAACUUCUCAGAGGCAAGUGAGGGAGGAGCUAGGAUAUACAGGAAUUUUUGUAACAAAGUUCAGGAAGCAGGAACAAAAGAGGCCUGGGCUCACUGAAAUCAUUCAUUUGAUAUGCACUUCUGCUCUCAGUGCAGUAUCCUGGGUUUUUACAGCCUGCGGGACUCACUGGCUCUCAUCCUUGGAGGUAACUGCUUUCACAGAUGACCCUGAUAUUCUUUAUCCUUAACUACAGAUUGAGCUGAAAUACCACCCAAGGAGGAAAAGGGGGAAUAUCAGGAUAUGAUAAAGGUGACAGGGAGGAGAUGUAUGCAACAUAUAUACAUUUACAAUGCAUACACAUAUUUUACAAAAGUUUGUUGCUAAUCAUCUGAAGUUUACUACCAGUCAUGAGGAGCAGACAUCAUCACCAUGAUGGAUUUUAGUAUUUUAUUCUAGAUAUGAGGAGAUGCAAGAAUUGGGCAUAUAAAAUAUCCUAAAAAGAUCUCACUAUCUGAACAUUUCUUCUAGUUUUCCCAGAGCACAGAGUUCCUCACUCCUGAAGUUCACCCUGAGCUCUGCUCAGGGGUUUUGUGAGUCUGUAGGAGAAAAUGUCCCAACAAAAAAUGUAGAAAGGAGAGAUCCCAGUCAUGAUGACUAAGCAAAGUCCAACCAACUGCCCCUAACCACCCCUCCCCCACAUAUCUGCUUCUGUAAACUUGCUUCCACAUUUACUACCUUGCCCGACUUCACUCUGAUCUGACCAGCCAAGCAUGGACCCAGAAAAGGUAGCCCAUAAAAGUCUUGUGAAACCCUACUUCAGGGCUCAGACUCCAGGGAGAGAUCUCCUCUGAGCCUGCCAUUGUAAUGAACUCUGAGUGCUCAGUUGGUUUCUUGCCAGGUAAAAGAGCUGAUACACUGCAACCACAGAGCUGCUGGACCUGGUACACUACAGCGACAGGGCCAUCACUAGAGCUGAUACACUGUGUUCAAGGGGCUGUGGGGCAGCUGCUGUAACAUUACUGGAGGCCCCAGGGAUAUUCCAACUAUUCUGGCCCCUUGAACCACCAGAGCAGUGGCAAGGCCACUCAGGAACUGGGGAGGCCACAAACUGAACAAGGCGGCAUGCCACCCCAUGGUAUUCUGGGUCCUCCUUCAUGAGUGGCAUUCCUGACUCCCAGGUGACUGAACCCCAAUUGGACUCAGUGGAGAGACAGACCAACUCACCAGGAAGGCAUCCGGACAAGUUAAGGCCCCAGGGCCAACCCCAGUCAGUUUGUGCCCCAGCAGGCAGAAGAGGGAACUGAUCACCCCCUUAGAGAGACUCUCCCAUUUGGAAGCUGUGCCUGACUGGAACAGUAGUCCUAGUGCUCCAGAUUGGAAGCAGAGGAACCUCCUUUCUUGGGUGGAACAACUAUCAGGAGUAGCUGAUUGAAAGUUGUGCUUGAUCAUCUGCUAUUUAGGGACUCUCAGGGAGUGGGAGGCAUUGUGAUAACCUCUGAGUGUGUGUGAGGGUGAAUGAGCAACCCGAUUUACUUGCUUUUCAGGUUUGAGUUUUUGGCUCCAUGGCCUUAGUGGCCAUGGAGUCUGAGUGGGUCCUAACCUGUGGUGACCUCAUAUGGCUUACAUCUGUAGUAGACUCUGAGGGUUCUCUUCCCUCCCUGUGAGUCCAAUCCAAGUUUGGGGCUUAUAUGAACCAGCCAAUUGUUAAGAGGCACCUAAAAUCCUGAGAGGGGUGUGGUCAGGUGGACAUCUGAAUGGCCAACUCCUAAGAGGAGGCACCCUCCCUUGUUUGGUCAGCAACACUGGCAUAGGGUGGCCACACAGGUUAGGACCUAACCCAGAAGCCCAUGAGCCAGAGACCCCUGUGAUUCCACCAUUUGGGCCAUAAAUUCCUCCAAGGAGAUAAUCUAACUUCACCUUGCCCCAGGUUUCCAGGGACUCCCAUCCCAGAUUCUAAACUGGAACUGCCCAUUUUGUCAGUUCACAGAGGCCUAGGAUCUGAGUCAGGGAGACUCCCCGAAAGAUUGGGUAAAGCCCCACUUGGAAGUUCCUCUAUUGGAACACCUAUUUUGCCACAAGUCCAUCAUCCCUGUCUCCUGCUACAUCAGCUCAGGGUACAAGGAGAAUUGGGUACAAGGCCCCCUGUCCUUUGCCCAAACAUUAGAACAUGUCUGAGAGUGCCUUCCCGAGACCCAGAGCUCAGAUGGAUCAAAAACACUUGCAAUAAAGCAGGUGCUCUCCCCAGCCAUAGAGUGAGCUGAGUGGGAGCUGUUUUGCUUUUAGGAGUGGUGGAGGCAAUGCUACAAGGGAUACCACCGAGGUCAGAGAAGGUCUCAUAAUAUCAGGUCAUAGACAAAUCCACAGAAAGACACAAUGGGCUCUCCCAAGUCCAAAGCCACAGUCCUAGAUUGUGUGAUCAAAGAUUUCAAAAAGGGAUUUUCUGGAGAUUAUGGUAUAAAACUCACCUGAUCUUUCAUCAUUUCCUUUGCUAUUACCUCAAAUAGAGCUGUGGGGGCAAAGGAAACAGACCUCUAGAUGUUAAGACCACUUUGAAUCUUACCAUGCCUGUGGGGGAAGACCAUGCCUGUGGGGGAAAAGGAGUUCAUAACUAGUAUUCAUCCAACUUAAGCCAAGUGUUUAGCCUCAGAGCCUGGGCAUAGUCAGUUUUGCUUUUUGCUGUUUACUUUCACCCUGGUUGGAGAAAUGGACAGCUGGUUCAUCCAAUUUACCUGUUAACUGUGGCUUAGGAACUUUCCUGAUAUUAAUAGAGUCAUGUCAGAGAGAGCAUCUUAGGAUUCAAAAACUCAGGACAGUACCUGUAUGCCUGAGUUUUCUUCACCUCUGUCCAGAGAUAUAUUGGGCAGAGAUGAUGGGAAGAGAUGCUAUGCUGGGAAAGAAUGGUUAAUUCCAGUCAGCCUAAGGUCAGAUGUGACAUUGGACCACUAACAUCUAGCUGCUCCGUAUAAGAGAGGGGAUGCCCUCACAUAACUGAGAAAGGACAAUAGGUGCUGCACACUGGUAUUUUCUCUUUUUCAGAUGGGAGCCACAGCCUCAAGCCUGGUGCAUGGCUAAAUAGCAACUCUUCUGACUUGUGCCUUGAAAAACUGAAAAAGAGUUUGGCCCUGAGACUCUGAAAAAGAAAUAUUUCCUUUUCUUUGGCACAAAAGCCUGGCCACCAUAUAACCUGUCUGUUGAGAGUGAUGGCCAUCUGAAGGCUCUAUAGAUGAUAACACUAUUCUCCAAUUAGACCUAUUUUGUAGAAGAGAUGGGAAAUUGUCAGAAGUGCCUUAUGUUCAGAUGUUUACAAUGAGGGAAAACACUACACUGAGGAAGGCUUGUGGACUUCCUUGGUACAUUAUGCCAACUCCCUUAGGACCUAGGUGCCCACUAUAUCCUUGCCCAACUGGGUCAGACCAUCCAGAAGUUAAUCAGCCUUUUCCAAUACUGCACAAGUCUCCUCCUCUUCCCCCUCCAAUGCCAAAGUUGUAUCCCUCUUUACACCCUUUACAAGAGGUAGCAAAUGGAGAAUGGGGACCAACAUGUGUCCAUAUGCCUUUUUCACUUCAGGACUUAAGGCAAAUAAAAACAGAUUUGGGAAAAUUAGCUUAUGAUCCAGAUGGAUAUAUUGAGGUCUUUCAGGGUCUGACACAGUCCUUGGAGUUAGCCUGGAAGGAUGUCAUGUUAUUACUAAAACAGACAUUGACUAUAAGUGAAAAACAAAAAAAAGUCUUAGAAAAUACUCAAAGCUGGGGAGAUGAAUGGUAUGCUAUAAAUGCCAGAGGCAGAUGAGAAGAGUAUCAAACAAGAUUCCCCACAGGGUGUCGAUCCUAAUUGGUCUUCUGAUGAGGAGGAUAAAGACAAUUGGCAUAGAAAUCAUUUUAUUACUUGUAUAGUUUGGGACUAAGAAUUGCAAGAAUAAAGCCCAUUAACUACUCCAAACUAUCAGAGGUUUAUCUAGGGGAACAAAAGGGACCAUCAGCUUUCUUAGAAAGACUCAGAGGGAGUUCCCAUCAUGGCUCAGUGGUUAACAAAUCUGACUAGGAACCAUGAGUUUGAAGGUUCAAUCCUUGGCCUUGCUCAGUGUGUUAAGGAUCUGGUGUUGCCAUGAGCUGUGGUGUAGGUUGCAGACAUGGCUUGGAUCCUGCAUUGCUGUGGCUGUGGCAUAGGCUGGUGUCUACAUCUCUGAUUAGACGCCUAGCCUUGGAACCUCCACAUGCCUUGGGAGUGGCAUUGGGAAAGGCAAAAAGACAAAAAAAAAAAAAAAAAAAAAAAAAAGAAAGAAAGAAAGAAAGAAAGAAAGACUCAGAGAGGCAUUGCAAAAACAUACACCAAAGAACCCAAAAACAAUGGAGGGCCAAAUAAUUCUUAAGGAUAAAUUCAUACCUCAAUCAGUGCCAGAUAUAAGGAGAAAGUUCCAAAAAUUGGAUUUUGGCCCUGAUCAGAACCUGGAGCACAUCCUCAGAAUAGCAACUUAAGUAUGGGGCCAGGAAGAAUGAAAGGAGAACAAGAGAAAAGACAGAGAAAAUGCUGAGGCUGAGGGUGUCAACCUGGGAGUUUCCAAGGAGAGAGGACUAGGGCAGAGACAUAUGCCUAGAACAUGUUUCCUCUGUGGAAAAGAGGGACACUUUAAAUGGGAAUGCCUCAAGGCUCAGACCACAGUACUGAGGCCCUGCCCCAUAUGUUGGGGAGAUCACUGGAAGAGGGAUUGCCCCCAAAAAUGAAGGUCUCUGGGGUGGACCCUCGAGCCCAAGAUCAAGACUGAUGGGACGUUUCCAUAGUGGCUCCUGUCCUUAUCACAACUCCCCUGGGUGACUCUAAAUGUAGGAAGACAGCCUAUUGACUUCCUCCUGGAUACAGGAUCCACCUUUUCAGUCCUCCUCUCCAACCCUGGGCCCCUCCUUCAUGAAUCUGCCACAUUCAUGGUAAUUUUGGAAAUCUGGUUAUGAAAUUUUUUAUACAACCUUUGAGUUGUGACUGGGAAACAAUUUUCUUCUCUCAUGCCUUUCUGAUUGUUCCAGAGAGUCCAACUCCUCUUUUAGAAAGAGAUAUUUUCCAGCACAAAUGAACAUCUCCUCAGAAAAGAAAAUCAUGGACUUGGAGAAGAGACUUGUGGGUGCCAGAUGGGAGGGGGAGGGAGUGGGAGGGAUCGGGAGCUUGGGCUUAUCAGACACAACUUAGAAUAGAUUUACAAGGAGAUCCUGCUGAAUAGCAUUGAGAACUAUGUCUAGAUACUCAUGUUGCAACAGAAGAAAGGGUGGGGGAAAAACUGUAAUUGUAAUGUAUACAUGUAAGGAUAACCUGACCCCCUUGCUGUACAGUG